rnacentral:rRNA from 1 species
AGCGAACGCUGGCGGCAGGCCUAACACAUGCAAGUCGAGCGCCCCGCAAGGGAGCGCAGACGGGAGAGUAACACGUGGGAACGUACCCUUCAGUUCGGAACAACCCAGGGAAACUUGGGCUAAUACCGAAUACGUCCGUAAGGAGAAAGAUUUAUCGCUGAAGGAUCGGCCCGCGUCUGAUUAGCUUGUUGGUGAGGUAACGGCUCACCAAGGCUACGAUCAGUAGCUGGCUGAGAGGAUGAUCAGCCUCACUGGGACUGAGACACGGCCCAGACUCCUACGGGAGGCAGCAGUGGGGAAUAUUGGACAAUGGGCGCAAGCCUGAUCCAGCCAUGCCGCGUGGGUGAUGAAGG